CUAAGAAUAUUCCGCAAUGGACGGAAGUCUGACGGAGCGACGCCGCGUGGAUGACGAAGGCCGAAAGGUUGUAAAGUUCUUUUGCUGGGGAAGAAUAACCGCAGGAGGGAAUGCCUGUGGGAUGACAAGAACCGGCGAAUAAGCCCCGGCCAACUACGUGCCAGCAGCCGCGGUAACACGUAGGGGGGCCGAGCGUUGUUCGGAAUUACUGGGCGUAAAGGGCAUGUAGGCGGCUUGGAAAGCCUGGCGUGAAAGUCUGCAGCUUAACUGCAGGGGUGCGCUGGGAACUGCUGAGCUUGAGUGACGGAGAGGGAGCUGGAAUUCCUGGUGUAGGGGUGAAAUCUGUAGAUAUCAGGAAGAACACCGAUGGCGAAGGCAAGCUCCUGGCCGAUGACUGACGCUGAGGUGCGAAAGUGUGGGGAUCAAACAGGAUUAGAUACCCUGGUAGUCCACACAGUCAACGAUGUGCACUAGGUGCUGGGGCGGUAGCUUCGGUGCCGGAGCGAACGUGGUAAGUGCACCGCCUGGGGAGUAUGCUCGCAAGGGUGAAACUC
rnacentral:rRNA from 1 species